UACGGGGGGGGCAAGCGUUGCUCGGAAUUACUGGGCGUAAAGCGUGCGCAGGCGGCUUUGCAAGACAGAUGUGAAAUCCCCGGGCUCAACCUGGGAACUGCAUUUGUGACUGCAUGGCUGGAGUGCGGCAGAGGGGGAUGGAAUUCCGCGUGUAGCAGUGAAAUGCGUAGAUAUGCGGAGGAACACCGAUGGCGAAGGCAAUCCCCUGGGCCUGCACUGACGCUCAUGCACGAAAGCGUGGGGAGCAAACAGG
rnacentral:rRNA from 1 species